AGUAGAGUGGCAAACGGGUGAGUAACACGUGGGUGACCUGCCUUCAAGUGGGGGAUAACGUCCCGAAAGGGACGCUAAUACCGCAUAACAUGCCGCUUUUUAACAGGCGGACAUCAAAGCCGGGGAUCGCAAGACCUGGCGCUAGAAGAGGGGCCCGCGCCUGAUUAGCUAGUUGGUGGGGUAAUGGCUCACCAAGGCGACGAUCAGUAGCCGGCCUGAGAGGGCGGACGGCCACACUGGGACUGAGACACGGCCCAGACUCCUACGGGAGGCAGCAGUGGGGAAUUGUUCGCAAUGGGCGCAAGCCUGACGACGCAACGCCGCGUGGAGGAUGAAGACCUUCGGGUCGUAAACUCCUUUCGAUCGAGACGAAUGGCCUUCGGGUUAAUAACUCGGAGGAAUGACGGUACCGAGAGAAGAAGCCCCGGCUAACUCCGUGCCAGCAGCCGCGGUAAUACGGGGGGGGCAAGCGUUGUUCGGAGUUACUGGGCGUAAAGGGCUCGUAGGUGGCCAACUAAGUCAGACGUGAAAUCCCUCGGCUUAACCGGGGAACUGCGUCUGAUACUGGAUGGCUUGAGUUUGGGAGAGGGACGCGGAAUUCCAGGUGUAGCGGUGAAAUGCGUAGAUAUCUGGAGGAACACCGGUGGCGAAGGCGGCGUCCUGGACCAAUACUGACACUGA
rnacentral:rRNA from 1 species